UCGUAACGAACGAGACCUUAUCCUACUAUUUAGGGGAACUGACUUUGUCAAGUUUGUCAUCUUAGAGGGGCUGCGAAUGUAUAAUUCGUGGAAGUUUGAGGCAAUAACAGGUCUGUGAUGCCCUUAGAUGUUCUGGGCCGCACGCGCGCUACACUGACAGUAACAUUUAGUAUACCUCCACUGACAAGUUGGGGCAAUCUCGUGAAAUGCUGUCGUGUUUGGGAUAGUCCCUUGCAAUUAUUGGACUUGAACGAGGAAUUCCUAGUAAGCGCCAGUCAUCAACUUGUGCUGAUUAUGUCCCUGCCCUUUGUACACACCGCCCGUCGCUACUACCGGAUUGAAUGGC
rnacentral:rRNA from 1 species